GUUCCGUUCCGGAAGUCGGUUUUGGGAACAUUGAUUUCGUCGCGAUAGAACUAACCUUCGGACGAAACUAACCUUGAAAAUACCCCCUGUUUGGAUUUUACUUGGAAGGAGGUAGUUCAAUAUAGCAGGUUUAAUUAAUUAAGAAAGAAUGGGAUGCAACGAUGACGAAACGCAUAAUAUCCAGUUUAAAAAGAAGAAGAAGACGAAACCUUUAAGGAAACGCGAAGCUUCUCAGUUUGAGCGAGGGAGAAAAAAUGUCCAAGUAGAAAGUCGAGGAAACAAAGAUUAUUCAGAAAUUUCGUGAGAGACCGUCGAUAUUGUUGGUUUGGCGCUCGGACAAAGCGUUGUAUCGGAUGUGUUGUGGUCGGAUCCCUUUAAUAUGAAAACCGGAGGAAAAUAUGACUAUGCUGAAGAAUACAAAAUAUAAGCUAAAUGACUCUUACGACAGCAGCAUUAGAAUUCAAUUUAAUAUGGAGACCAAUAAACGCGACGAAGAAGUGAUCAAUUAUGUAGAAGAAUUGUCAAAGCACAA